rnacentral:misc_RNA from 1 species
CGUCUUAAUGUAUUAAGAAUGCUUUAAAGGGGCUAUACCCCAUACACUAUCUUCUUUUAGGAAGAUAUGUAUGGGGUAUAGCCCUANUCCCCNUUUCUUUGAAUGAUUUWUUCUAUUCNUUUUUUUGANUUCAACGACUUAACGACGAGAUUUAUUAUCGUUUCUCGCACUGUCUCGCGAAAGUCAGAGUAGGCGCGAAUUCUCCCAAUUUGUGACCUACCAUACGAUCUGUUAUAUAAAUAGGUAAAUGUUCUUUUCCAUUAUGAAWAGCGAUYGUAUGGCCMAUCAUUGUGGGUAUAAUGGUAGAUGCCCGAGACCAAGUUACUAUUAUUUCUUUCUCCUCCCUCAUGUUGAGUUUUUCAAUUUUUCCCGAUAAAUUCUUAGCUACAAAAGGGUUUUUUUUUAGUGAACGUGUCACAGCUGAUUAGAUUACUCCUUUUUUUACAUUUUAAAGAUUGGCAUUCUACGUCUAUUCUACGUCUAAUAGAAUAUCUCGAUCUAAGUAUGAAGGUAAGAAUAAAUACAAUAAUGA